AGAGUUUGAUCCUGGCUCAGGAUGAACGCUGGCGGCGUGCCUAAUACAUGCAAGUCGAGCGAACGGACGAGAAGCUUGCUUCUCUGAUGUUAGCGGCGGACGGGUGAGUAACACGUGGAUAACCUACCUAUAAGACUGGGAUAACUUCGGGAAACCGGAGCUAAUACCGGAUAAUAUUUUGAACCGCAUGGUUCAAAAGUGAAAGACGGUCUUGCUGUCACUUAUAGAUGGAUCCGCGCUGCAUUAGCUAGUUGGUAAGGUAACGGCUUACCAAGGCAACGAUGCAUAGCCGACCUGAGAGGGUGAUCGGCCACACUGGAACUGAGACACGGUCCAGACUCCUACGGGAGGCAGCAGUAGGGAAUCUUCCGCAAUGGGCGAAAGCCUGACGGAGCAACGCCGCGUGAGUGAUGAAGGUCUUCGGAUCGUAAAACUCUGUUAUUAGGGAAGAACAUAUGUGUAAGUAACUGUGCACAUCUUGACGGUACCUAAUCAGAAAGCCACGGCUAACUACGUGCCAGCAGCCGCGGUAAUACGUAGGUGGCAAGCGUUAUCCGGAAUUAUUGGGCGUAAAGCGCGCGUAGGCGGUUUUUUAAGUCUGAUGUGAAAGCCCACGGCUCAACCGUGGAGGGUCAUUGGAAACUGGAAAACUUGAGUGCAGAAGAGGAAAGUGGAAUUCCAUGUGUAGCGGUGAAAUGCGCAGAGAUAUGGAGGAACACCAGUGGCGAAGGCGACUUUCUGGUCUGUAACUGACGCUGAUGUGCGAAAGCGUGGGGAUCAAACAGGAUUAGAUACCCUGGUAGUCCACGCCGUAAACGAUGAGUGCUAAGUGUUAGGGGGUUUCCGCCCCUUAGUGCUGCAGCUAACGCAUUAAGCACUCCGCCUGGGGAGUACGACCGCAAGGUUGAAACUCAAAGGAAUUGACGGGGACCCGCACAAGCGGUGGAGCAUGUGGUUUAAUUCGAAGCAACGCGAAGAACCUUACCAAAUCUUGACAUCCUUUGACAACUCUAGAGAUAGAGCCUUCCCCUUCGGGGGACAAAGUGACAGGUGGUGCAUGGUUGUCGUCAGCUCGUGUCGUGAGAUGUUGGGUUAAGUCCCGCAACGAGCGCAACCCUUAAGCUUAGUUGCCAUCAUUAAGUUGGGCAUUCUAAGUUGACUGCCGGUGACAAACCGGAGGAAGGUGGGGAUGACGUCAAAUCAUCAUGCCCCUUAUGAUUUGGGCUACACACGUGCUACAAUGGACAAUACAAAGGGCAGCGAAACCGCGAGGUCAAGCAAAUCCCAUAAAGUUGUUCUCAGUUCGGAUUGUAGUCUGCAACUCGACUACAUGAAGCUGGAAUCGCUAGUAAUCGUAGAUCAGCAUGCUACGGUGAAUACGUUCCCGGGUCUUGUACACACCGCCCGUCACACCACGAGAGUUUGUAACACCCGAAGCCGGUGGAGUAACCUUUUAGGAGCUAGCCGUCGAAGGUGGGACAAAUGAUUGGGGUGAAGUCGUAACAAGGUAGCCGUAUCGGAAGGUGCGGCUGGAUCACCU
rnacentral:rRNA from 1 species